CUGAGUACGGCGGAACACGUGAAAUUCCGUCGGAAUCCGGGAGGACCAUCUCCCAAGGCUAAAUACUCCCUAGUGACCGAUAGUGAACCAGUACCGUGAGGGAAAGGUGAAAAGCACCCCGGAAGGGGAGUGAAACAGUUCCUGAAACCGUGUGCCUACAAGUAGUUAGAGCCCGUUAAUGGGUGAUAGCGUGCCUUUUGUAGAAUGAACCGGCGAGUUACGAUUUGUUGCAAGGUUAAGCGGAAAAAGCGGAGCCGUAGCGAAAGCGAGUCUGAAUAGGGCGCAUAAGUAACAGGUCGUAGACCCGAAACCAGGUGAUCUACCCAUGUCCAGGAUGAAGGUAAGGUAAUACUUACUGGAGGUCCGAACCCACGCACGUUGAAAAGUGCGGGGAUGAGGUGUGGGUAGCGGAGAAAUUCCAAUCGAACUUGGAGAUAGCUGGUUCUCUCCGAAAUAGCUUUAGGGCUAGCCUCGAGGUAAAGAGUCAUGGAGGUAGAGCACUGUUUGGACUAGGGGCCCUUCUCGGGUUACCGAAUUCAGAUAAACUCCGAAUGCCAUGUACUUAUACUCGGGAGUCAGACUGCGAGUGAUAAGAUCCGUAGUCGAAAGGGAAACAGCCCAGACCACCAGUUAAGGUCCCCAAAUAUAUGUUAAGUGGAAAAGGAUGUGGGGUUGCUUAGACAACCAGGAUGUUGGCUUAGAAGCAGCCACCAUUGAAAGAGUGCGUAAUAGCUCACUGGUCGAGUGACCCCGCGCCGAAAAUGUACCGGGGCUAAACAUAUUACCGAAACUGUGGAUGAACCUCUUUAGAGGUUCGUGGUAGGAGAGCGUUCUAAGGGCGGUGAAGUCAGACCGGAAGGACUGGUGGAGCGCUUAGAAGUGAGAAUGCCGGUAUGAGUAGCGAAAGAAGGGUGAGAAUCCCUUCCACCGAAUAUCUAAGGUUUCCUGAGGAAGGCUCGUCCGCUCAGGGUUAGUCGGGACCUAAGCCGAGGCCGAUAGGCGUAGGCGAUGGACAACAGGUAGAGAUUCCUGUACCAGUGCUAAUUGUUUAACCGAUGGGGUGACACAGAAGGAUAGGGAAUCGCACGAAUGGAAAUGUGCGUCCAAGCAGUGAGUGUGAGAAGUAGGCAAAUCCGCUUCUCGCGAAGCAUGAGCUGUGAUGGGGAAGGAAAUUAAGUACGGAAGUUCCUGAUUUCACGCUGUCAAGAAAAGCCUCUAGGAAGAGUAGUACUGCCCGUACCGCAAACCGACACAGGUAGAUGAGGAGAGAAUCCUAAGGUGAGCGAGAGAACUCUCGUUAAGGAACUCGGCAAAAUGACCCCGUAACUUCGGGAGAAGGGGUGCUCUAUUAGGGUGCAAGCCCGAGAGAGCCGCAGUGAAUAGGCCCAGGCGACUGUUUAGCAAAAACACAGGUCUCUGCAAAACCGUAAGGUGACGUAUAGGGGCUGACGCCUGCCCGGUGCUGGAAGGUUAAGAGGAGUGCUUAGCUUCGGCGAAGGUACGAAUUGAAGCCCCAGUAAACGGCGGCCGUAACUAUAACGGUCCUAAGGUAGCGAAAUUCCUUGUCGGGUAAGUUCCGACCCGCACGAAAGGCGCAACGAUCUGGGCACUGUCUCAACGAGAGACUCGGUGAAAUUAUAGUACCUGUGAAGAUGCAGGUUACCCGCGACAGGACGGAAAGACCCCGUGGAGCUUUACUGCAACCUGAUAUGGAAUGUUUGUACCGCUUGUACAGGAUAGGUAGGAGCCGAAGAG
rnacentral:rRNA from 1 species